UAGCAGCACAUCAUGGUUUGCAUGCUCUGCUCAGGGUGCAAAUCAUGAUUUGCUGCUGUA
rnacentral:pre_miRNA from 1 species